rnacentral:lncRNA from 1 species
UAACGAACUAUGCGCGCUUUAAAGCCAUUAAUAUCAGUCUAAGAAGGCAGCUUCUAGAUAGAGGGAAAAUGUGAGGGUCAAGAGUAUCUGUGCGUGAGUUUAGAAGGGUCGGGAGCUAUCACUGCAGUUAAAGAGGAGCGAUACAUCUUCAAGCCACCCGCAAACUUCCCCAACACGGAAAAGAGUUCUGUAAAUGGAGGACACCCCAUGUGCUACAACAUACUACCUCAAGUUUCCUAUGUCGAAACAGUCACUGGACUCAGACACCUGCAUCUCGGCUAGGAUUCUGUAGCGGGCUGAAGAGCGUUUAUGUAACUGUUCCGAGGUAAAGACACAGGAUCGAAAGAAGGUGGUGUUUCAAAGAACUUGUAAACUAACUAGCAGGAGGUAGGGAAGAACAAAUAAUUAAAACGAAAAGCCCAAGUGUAAAACCAAAGUGUCUCUGGCCGGCAGUGGGAGCAUAGCAGCUGCUGAAUGCCUAGGGAAAUUAGGAGGACGCCACUAAAGGGGUAAGGAGGGGCGCGGUUGAGGCCA